rnacentral:tRNA from 1 species
GGGGAUUUAGCUCAGUGGCAUAAGUGCCUGCCUGGCAAGCAGGAGGUCAUGAGUUUGAUCCCUA